UACGGAGGGGGCAAGCGUUGUUCGGAAUUACUGGGCGUAAAGGGCGCGCAGGCGGCUGCUCAAGUCAGGCGUGAAAGGCCUGGGCUCAACCCGGGAAUUGCGCUUGAGACUGGGCUGGCUUGAGUGCGGGAGAGGAAAGCGGAAUCCCUGGUGUAGCGGUGAAAUGCGUAGAUAUCAGGAGGAACACCUGCGGUGAAGACAGCUUUCUGGACCAUCACUGACGCUGAGACACGAAAGCGUGGGUAGCAAACAGG
rnacentral:rRNA from 1 species